ensembl:lncRNA
UAGAAAUGACGUCAAGUGAUGUGCUUAUCUGACUAUAAUUACUGAUGUGUUUGAACCUGUAUUCAGUUUUGUUGUCUGAAACCGAGGCAACUUUUGAUGAUCACUUCAUCAAUUGAAAUCGCACAACUUGAAUUCAGUAACACUUUAUCAGUUUUUUGAACAUCUCAACUUCUGGUCUCCAUUCCUCAUACAGGCCCAACCCCAGACAGCUUCUUCAUUGUAGCCUCUGAUGAACCAACACAUAAGGUGAAAUUGUUACCAUGGGGAUUCUUCUAGCAGUCGCAGCAGAAAUAGCAGUCAGUACAAUAGCAGCUGUUACCGAAGCAGCAGCAGAAGCAGCAGCAGCAGCAAUAUCUGUCACCACUGCAGAAUUUUCAGAGGAAACAGCUGUCCUAGGAGAGAUUGCAGCAGAAGCAGCAGCUGAAGAUGCAGCUGAAGCAGCAGCAGCAGGGCUUGUUGUUGAUGUGGGAGAAGAAACUGAAAUAAUCACUCAGAAAUGCUUAUUAUUUAUAGCAAAGUUCAACAAAUCGAUAAAAGAAUUCUGUGCCAUUGAUGCCAUUUUUAAAGCUGCAAACGAGCUUUUGCACAACUGUUCUACACAUAACAUAUGCAAUAAAUCUGAGAGACUGAACAAAUCUCUUGACAUUUUACACAAGCUCCAGACCAAAAUGACAGAUGUCAGUAACUGGCUUGAAGAGCACAAGGGUGAUACUGUGAUACUUGAAGGAUUUCAGGUACCUCUGGAUUCAGCGCUUUUGAAAAAAGUCUUGAAACCAUUAUCAAUGGCUCUUGGAUCAUUGGAAAAGCUCACAGCUGAUGUCAGUAAACUCAACAUGAAUAACCAAGUCAUCAGUAAUGCCCAGAUUCUUUCACUUGAUAGAAGUAUGAUCCGUAUUGUGGCAACUUUUCAUGAAUUAGCUGCCUUUAAAGAAGAGAAAAGUGAUAAAAUUCCCAUUCUGAAUUCAUUUCCUAUUACCAUGGAAGAAGUGAAUGAAUGGAAAGAUGAACUUGGCUUUGCAGAUGAUGGAGGGUUAUGUGUUUUAAACAGUGAGAGAUAUAAAUAUCCAGAAUAGGUGUCAAAUGCAAAGUGACUUUGAACAUCAUAAUUUUAAAAGGAUUUUGUUUGUUGAGUGGAGUCUUGAAUCAAAGGGAGUGUAUUGUUUUAUAAUCACGUGACAAAAAGCCAUUUUGAUUAAUAUACAUAUGUUUCAUUUAAUUACUUAAGAGUACUAAGAAAGUAAUUUUAUUCAUUAUAAUAAGCAACCAGUGUCACAUCAAGUGUAGUUUAGUAACUGUUUUAUAUUUGAAUAGAAGUUGCCAAGUCUUUGUUUGCCAUCUUAUCUACUUCUUAAGUCUUUCUGAAUCUCUUCUUGAGUCUUUUUAAUCCUUUCCUUGACCAAGGCACAUGUGUUUCUUGGAAUGCCCAAGGCCUUUUUUACUCUAAGGAAAUAUGGGUUGUGACAAAGAAAUUCCUUUUGUUCAUUGUCAAUGCUACUGUGGAAAUAAAACAUUUUUAAACCAGUGCAAUUUGAUG